GUGUAUAUAGCAUACUAGACCUGGGAAAGUGAUUUGGUGAGUCUGCACUUGGGCCUCUACAAUCCAUCUUUAGCUCUAAAGCCAUGAACCUGUAAAUUCCUACCUUGGUUAACAGAGCUAAGGACUGUUUGUAGAAGAUUUUGGGAGAGAGACACUGGAAACAGAAGCCCCACCAAUUGGGCCUGGCCAUGAGACAUUAACUUCAGCAGGACUAUAUAAGAACGGUUUAUGGACUUUGGCAACUACCAGACUUCAAGGAGAAUUAUAACUAGG